rnacentral:lncRNA from 1 species
CCUCUCUCUUCCCUGACAGCAAGAUGAGUCUCUACAAAGGAGACUUCACUUCCUGCACAUGUUUACUAGUUUGCCUGAUCUUCUCUGGGGCACUUUUUCUUUUCAAAUACCAUCUAUUGUUAGUUGUGGCGUAACACUUCCUGUCAGUGGCGCUGUUGUUUAAAUAAGGCAUUCCUGAAAAUUUCCUUAUCCGGACAGGCUUUUCUCACUUUCGGGAUGCAGGAGCUGAAAGAUUUGAAGAGACCCUUUAAAGGAUAGGGUAAUCAAGUUCUGUCAGAAGACUGCCUGCUGAUAAAAGUCAUGUCCAUUUCUGACAACGUUCUGUUGUGGUUUGUAAUUGCUCUGUGAUAGAGCUUGUCAAUCUCUGUGGUUACUGAAAGGUGUUAUGAUGGACGGGAAGAAUUGAACAGACACUGGGGAGGCAUGCGAGCUCCCUUAAAGUUUCUUGUGAAGACGCCUUCUGAAUCAGUGCUCUAUUUUGAGCACAAAGUCAAGAUGUCUGUGGCUUCAGCCAAAGAGGUUCACACGGAAGACCUGCUGCGCUGGUUGCUGAUCCAAGCCUGGACCGUUCCUGAAGCUCUUCUGGGCAAGAGCAUCCCUAGAAUGAUGCUUCCAACGAGCGCCCGAGAGGCUCCUCUCCUGGACAUGACUGAGUUGCACCCAUCGCCCGCCGUGGCACCCACUGGAACCUUGUACAGUAGUGGCUUCUCACAGAUGCAGCUGCACUUCUCCACUGGAGGGCCCAGGGAGCCUGACUCACACAUGGGACCUGGGUCUGAGGUGUAUCCUAACUUUCUUCUGGAGGCCUCCAGUGGGGCUGUGCCACUACUGCCCACAGUGAUAAAGCCUGUAAAGCACCCUGUGCAUCAACUUACUUCUCUUCUCUGUUUCACAUCCACGCCCCUCCCAGCGCUUCCCAGCAUCAGUACUUAA